AUGUCAGUGCCAGCUCCGGACCAACUGCAUGGUGUUUACAUGCUGCCAGGUUCCCAGAAAGGAAUUUGUCUCAUCUUAAAGCAGACUUCUGCAGUUGCUCAGUGGAUUUUCACAUUACUGCUGGUGGCAGGAAUUUACCCAACUCAUAACCAGGAUGGAAUAAAACUACCUAAUCCAGCUCCAAAGGAUAAAGGUAUCCUGCUCCCUGGGAAGUGUGCUGGGAUUUUCUGGAGGACUGGGAUCCGAAGACGAGGACUUCAGCUCCACCUUCUGCUGAAAGAAUGGAGCAGAGAGCACGGCAGGCAGCAAGGUCCAACUUCAAACAGGAGCAAAGAGCAUCAGGAAGAUUCCAGGUGGGAAGGGUCUCUGGAGGGCUCCACUUCAGCUCUAGGCAGGGCUAGCUUCAAGACAGAUCAAGUUUUCAAUAUCUCUGUAGACUGAGAAACUACAUUUUGAAGAAAACUUCUUCAGCAUUUGAUUAUUCUCCUAGUAAAAAUUUUCCUUCCUACUACCCAUCAAGAGCCUCCCUGCUGCAUCUUGUGACCACUGCCUCUUGUCCUUUUGCUGAGCAAUUUUGAGAGGAGCUUGGCUUUGCCUUCACUACCACCCUCCUCUAGACAGUUGAGGACAGCAAUUAGAUUUCCCUCAAUCCUCUUCUCCUCUGGCCCAAAUAUAUCCAGUUCCCUCAGCCCACCCUCCUAUGCUACAUGUAUGUGCUCCAGCCCUCCGCACAGGAGCGUUUUAUUCAAGAUUAAUAACGUUAUUUCAUUAUUACAGAGGUCAAAAAUAGCAACCUUAGGAUGUCGCCCUGUGCAUUUUAAUGAUAAAAUGAUGGCAUUUUAAAAUCAUUCAAUGAUUUUUUCCUCAUUUCAUAUAGGUUAAAUGCUCCAAUAAAUUACACAAUAAGUGAGAAAUUAUAUUGAGU
rnacentral:lncRNA from 1 species